ACGAACGCUGGCGGCGUGCUUCACACCUGCAAGUCGCACGGAAAGGCCCUGCUUUUGUGGGGUGCUCGAGUGGCGAACGGGUGAGUAACACGUGAGUAACCUGCCCUUGACUUUGGGAUAACUUCAGGAAACUGGGGCUAAUACCGGAUAGGAGCUCCUGCUGCAUGGUGGGGGUUGGAAAGUUUCGGCGGUUGGGGAUGGACUCGCGGCUUAUCAGCUUGUUGGUGGGGUAGUGGCUUACCAAGGCUUUGACGGGUAGCCGGCCUGAGAGGGUGACCGGCCACAUUGGGACUGAGAUACGGCCCAGACUCCUACGGGAGGCAGCAGUGGGGAAUAUUGCACAAUGGGCGGAAGCCUGAUGCAGCAACGCCGCGUGCGGGAUGACGGCCUUCGGGUUGUAAACCGCUUUCGCCUGUGGCGAAGCGUGAGUGACGGUAAUGGGUAAAGAAGCACCGGCUAACUACGUG
rnacentral:rRNA from 1 species